GGGGCUCCCACUGGCAGCCCCAGGCCUGCUUCUGGCUCUCCUUUGCUCUCCCUGGAUCAGGGGCUGAGGGAGGGGAUGAGGCCAACCAGAAACCCAGACGACCCGGGGAGAGCUGAUCCUGGACAGGGGUUCCCAAGAGGUCACGGAGGCUCCCUGGUGAAGCUGCGCUCUGUGCAGGCGCUGUGCGGGCAGCCCAGGCACUCCAUCAGAGCCCUCUCUUCCCUUAAGAGGAGUCCUCCUUGGGCGGUGCUCCAGGGCUGUGGGCUGGGCCAUGACGGUCCCCAGCUGCGUAGCUCCAGCCCCUUUCUAGCAGGCUGGUGGGCAGCUCAGUGUGGGCACCUGGGAUCUAAGGGGACUCCUAUGGGAGUACCCGCUGCCCUCACUCGUCUCGGGACGCAGCUGGACCCGGAGUCCCCGACCGCAGCCAGCGCAAGACCCCUGGAAGUCUGUCUCCGCGGUCCGCGACCCAGGUCCCCGCUGCCGCCACGCUGCUAGUGAAUGAGGCCCGCGGUUGGGGCCUCUGCACCUAGGCCUGUGUCUGUCCUCACGGUGCCCGGGACCCCCGUCAGGAUGCGGCGCCUCCUGAGCCUGAUUCUGCUCUUCCCCACGAGGAGGCUGGCGGUGCCCAUCUCAUAGCCCAGGUGGCCCAGGGCUGCACCGCGGUGGCUUCGGCGCCAGGGAGCCCAGGCUUCCCUCGGGGUUCACCGCCACCGGGCCUGGUCCGGCUGCAGCGUUGGAAAGAGCGCAAGGUGAGCCUGCUGUCAGAGAUGGUGUUUGCCGCCCGCCUCUGCUCCAUCCUGGAGGCUAUGCUGGCGCUCGGGUACCUGGGCCCGGUCGCCGCGGGCGGCGGCACCUGUCCCGACGGCUGCCCUGAGCGCAAGACCUUUGCUUGCCGUCUGCUUCCUGGCGGCCAACCUGGACGCCAGCAUCGACCCAUGCCAGGACUUUUACUCGUUCGCCUUGCGGCGGCUGGCUGCAGCACCACACCAUCCCCGAUGACAAGCUCAUCUAUGGCACCAUCGCGACCAACGACGAGCAGAACGAGGAGCGCCUGCGGCGCUUGUCCAGGCGCACAAGCAAGGUGCAGGGCGUGUACAGCGCCACGGUGCUCUUCUCGCUCAUGGUCAGCCUGGAACAGAGGACCUCCUCGCGCUACAUCAUCCGCAUUGACCAGGAUGGGCUCACCCUGCCAGAGAGGACCUUGUACCUAG
rnacentral:lncRNA from 13 species